rnacentral:rRNA from 1 species
AGCGAACGCUGGCGGCAGGCCUAACACAUGCAAGUCGAGCGCUCAUCUUCGGAUGGGAGCGGCGCACGGGUGAGUAACACGUGGGAACCUACCUUGAAGUAUGGAAUAACUGAGGGAAACUUCAGCUAAUACCGUAUACGCCCUACGGGGGAAAGAUUUAUCGCUUCAAGACGGGCCCGCGUUGGAUUAGCUAGUUGGUGAGGUAAUGGCUCACCAAGGCGACGAUCCAUAGCUGAUUUGAGAGAAUGAUCAGCCACACUGGGACUGAGACACGGCCCAGACUCCUACGGGAGGCAGCAGUGGGGAAUAUUGGACAAUGGGCGCAAGCCUGAUCCAGCCAUGCCGCGUGAGUGAUGAAGGCCUUCGGGUUGUAAAGCUCUUUCAGAUGGGACGAUGAUGACGGUACCAUCAGAAGAAGCCCCGGCUAACUUCGUGCCAGCAGCCGCGGUAAUACGAAGGGGGCUAGCGUUGUUCGGAAUUACUGGGCGUAAAGCGCGCGUAGGCGGCUUUGUCAGUCAGGGGUGAAAUCCCGGGGCUUAACCUCGGAACUGCCUUUGAUACUGCAAGGCUUGAGUCUGUGAGAGGAUGGUGGAAUACCCAGUGUAGAGGUGAAAUUCGU